CAAAGAGGCCGGAACUUGGAAAGCACGCGAGAUGAUACGAGAGUCGGCUUUGCGCGAGAGUUCCCGGAUACCGCAAGAUUAGCCAAAGGGCGCGGGAAAUCACAGCGGCCUCUAGUGGACGAGCCUCUCUCGAUGUUUCAGUGUGAGCAUGAAUGAUGAUGGUCUUUUCAUGCCCCUCGGUGCUCCAUCUGCCGCCAUUACUCUCCAGACACAGAAAAGGACUAGUAAAUAAUUCUGUCAUUUUGUUGUUGUGGCUGUAUGUGUAAUUUCAAACUACUAUAAUUCUGCCUUAUUGAUAAUUUCCUGUUUUUCAUGCAUGGCUAGGUUUUAUUGCUUUAUUUUGGUCUCACAGAACACUCUUCUGUAAUUGCACUUUUAAAAAAUGAAUUGAAAAAAAUUGUGACGUGGACACUCCAGGGACGACAGAUUGGGAGGAGACAACAGCCACCUAUGUGAUGAGGAAUGAAGCUCAUGAUUUAACUAGAAAUGGCCCAAGGCACGUCCUGUGUGAAGGGUUGAAUAAAUUUUCCAUCUUCUUUCAAGACGGAAUACUAUGAAACGUGACGGGGAAACAUCCUUGUGUGAUGAGGCCCUACAAGGAAAUGGCUACAUUGACUACUCACCACGCAAGUACAGUUCAGUCCUGAAGGUAUCUGCUAUGUCCUCAUAAUUCAAUAGGACAUAUUUCCUGAUGAAUAUGUAUAUGAUCAUAGCAUUGAAGAAGUGAAAGCUUAAGGAAAAACUAGAAACAUACUGAAGAAAAUUAUUUUUCUGUCUGUUGUUCACCCCAAUGACGUAAGUAAUCAUUUUGAUUUUUUUUAAAAAGGUGAUCUUAUGGUAUGAACAUAAAGAUGAACAUGUUUUAUUUGGCAUAAGCCUUUGGGAGCAACAGUUCACUUUUGAUGUAUUUCCUGGAAUAUAUCAAUGAAUUCCAAAGAAAACAUAUUUUUAAAAGCUGCCACAAAAGUUCUAUUGUAGAGCCAAGUAUCUGGUUCCAUGUGAGCCUUUGACCAUGUUUUUUUUAAAAAUGUCAUUAUCAGAUGAAAAGAGUAAGACCCCCUCCUUUCUUUCACUUAUGUUCAAAGAACACUCACAGUCUAAGCCUGGGAGUUUAGAAAUGCAUUGUAAGGACUCUACAUGAGUAUUCACAGACUCUGUCUAUGUAAACUCCAGGUGCAUCUACACUGCAGAAUUAAUGCAGUUUGACACCAUAUUAAUAACCAUAGCUCAAUGUUAUAGAAUCCUGGGAAUUGUAGUUUGGUGAGACACCAGAACUCUUUGACAGAGAAGGCUUAAGGUCUUGUGAAGAUACAAUUCCCAUGAUUCCAUUACACUGAGCCAUGGCAGUUAAAGUGACUUCCAACUAUUGAUUUUACAAUGUAGUGCACCCUGAAAUUCUGGUCCAAUAAGUAUUCUAUCCCUCUAAGGUGGAUAGAUUUGAAUCCAUAAAUGCUGUAUUUACUUCUUUGAGAUAAUGAAAAUAAAUGUUUUCAGAAUUUUCCCUAUAACAUUCUGAAAUGCUGCUUUUGAACAGUCACCAGAACUGUUUCUGCUGCUGAUAAUUUACAUAUUUGACACAUGCAGUGAUGUUUUGAUUCAAAUUAUAUAAUUCCCAAUUAAUAAAGGUUCCAUUUGGGUUCACUAAUACGUAUCUGCCAUUUAGUCUGAUGCCAAAUACCCAUUCUGAAGAAAGUCCCAUUAUAGAGUGUGGGGCUUACCAUUCAGUAAAUGUGGAAAGUUUUGCUAACUCAGAUACCAUGCUGUGAAACUUGAACUUUCAAAGUGUUGCUUGGAAAAUAGCAUAAACUUAAAAAUGGACAACAACAUUUAAUUAAGAGCUCAACCACAAAUCUCCAUGGACACAGGAUAAACACAGGGAGUGGGAAUUAUCAUUUUCUAUCUGUAACUUUCAGUCUUGCUCUGACCCAGAUUCCAGUACUGAUUUGGACACAGCCACCAAAAUUGAAAUACCUGUGGUGUCAGCAGGAAAGGCAUUAAAUUAGUACCAAUGGAGAACCAGCAACCCCAGAGACCAAGGUGUCAGAAAACCAUUGGGCCAGAGAUUUAGAAACUGGAAAACCUUGAACCUAAGGGCACAUCUACACUGACCGCUUAAUGUGGAUUGAACUCCUCUCAGAAAUGUGGUGUUCAAAUUAUUAUUAUUACAUUGUAACCUUAAAAAAUAAAAAUAGUUUUAAAAAGGAAUAUUCACCCCCACAUCACACCCACUAACUGAGUGUUAUUAUAAUGAAGUGGAAUGAAACAUCCACACUCAAACUGGGUACUGAAUAAUUUCUGGAAAAGGGGUCAUUAGCAAAUUAUUGUGAGUGUGACAUAAAAAUCACAUUCCCUAUGACUGUAUCACAAAAUAGCACUGGAAGAACAAUGAUGUUGUGUAAUAAGGCUGAGACAAAAGUGGGAAUUACUGUUAUGAAGGUAUAAUGGUAUGGAAUGAUGACCUAAAUUUUACAGUGCUUCCAAGAUAAUAGAAAUUCUCUUGUAAAAAUAACAAUGCUAGACAUGCCUGGGUUCAACUGCUGCAGUGUAUGCCUUCACUACCUUUAAAACAAAAAUCCAUCUUGCCACUUUUUAGCACCUUCCAUUUCCAGUGUCUGCUUCACAAGCCAGCUGCCUUUAGUGAUCAGACCUGGCAAAGGAAGCAUUUAUUUAGCUCUAAGAAAUCCGCAGAAGAUGAUAGAAUGGAAGCUGACACUGCUGUCUAAAAAAGUAAUCUGUAUUAGCUGACUAUUGAACUGUGAAGCUUGGAGGAUGGGUAGUAAAAGCACCUGAAAUAUCCA